rnacentral:rRNA from 1 species
AGGGAAGACGGUCUUCGGAUUGUAAACCUCUGUCUUUGGGGAAGAAAAUGACGGUACCCAAAGAGGAAGCUCCGGCUAACUACGUGCCAGCAGCCGCGGUAAUACGUAGGGAGCGAGCGUUGUCCGGAAUUACUGGGUGUAAAGGGAGCGUAGGCGGGCGAGAAAGUUGAAUGUUAAAUCUACCGGCUUAACUGGUAGCUGCGUUCAAAACUUCUUGUCUUGAGUGAAGUAGAGGCAGGCGGAAUUCCUAGUGUAGCGGUGAAAUGCGUAGAUAUUAGGAGGAACACCAGUGGCGAAGGCGGCCUGCUGGGCUUUAACUGACGCUGAGGCUCGAAAGCGUGGGGAGCAAACAGGAUUAGAUACCCUGGUAGUCCACGCUGUAAACGAUGAUUACUAGGUGUGGGGGGACUGACCCCUUCCGUGCC